rnacentral:SRP_RNA from 1 species
AGUUCAGUCCUAUGCGGCGAAAGCUCGUGAAAUCUGUCAGGUUCGGAAGAAAGCAGCAGUAAGUGAUGUUUUUUGGGUGCUGUAGGAGCCUGGACUCC